rnacentral:tRNA from 1 species
GCGCCUGUAGCUCAGUUGGAUAGAGCGUUGGGUUGCGGACCCAAAGGUCGGAGGUUCGAAUCCUCUCAGGCGUACCA